CAGUAGCCGCGGUAAUACGGAGGGGGCUAGCGUUGUUCGGAAUUACUGGGCGUAAAGCGCACGUAGGCGGCUUGGUAAGUUAGAGGUGAAAGCCUGGAGCUCAACUCCAGAAUUGCCUUUAAGACUGCCGAGCUAGCAGGUGAGAGAGGUAAGUGGAAUUCCGAGUGCAGAGGUGAAAUUCGUAGAUAUUCGGAAGAACACCAGUGGCGAAGGCGGCUUACUGGCUCAUACUGGACGCUGAGGUGCGAAAGCGUGGGGAGCAAACAGGAUUAGAGACCCCUGUAGUCCCUGUCUCUUAUAC
rnacentral:rRNA from 1 species